rnacentral:misc_RNA from 1 species
UACGGAGGGUGCAAGCGUUAAUCGGAAUUACUGGGCGUAAAGCGAGCGUAGGUGGCUUGAUAAGCCGGUUGUGAAAGCUCCGGGCUUAACCUGGGAACGGCAUCUGGAACUGUUAAGCUAGAGUACAGGAGAGGAAGGUAGAGUUCCCGGUAUAGCGGUGAAAUGCGUAGAGAUCGGGAGGAAUACCAGUGGCGAAGGCGGCCUUCUGGACUGAUACUGACACUGAGGUGCGAAAGCGUGGGUAGCAAACAGA